rnacentral:rRNA from 1 species
UGACUUAUAUCCCAAACUCGCGCCUUAGGAUGAGACGGCGGCGGAUUAGGCUGUUGGUGAGGUAACGGCUCACCAAACCGAAGAUCCGUACGGGCCGUGGGAGCGGUAGCCCGGAGAAGGACACUGAGAUACUGGUCCUAGCCCCACGGGGUGCAGCAGGCGCGUAACCUUUACAAUGCACGCAAGUGUGAUAAGGGAAUCCCAAGUGCUCAUGUUUUACAUGGGCUUUUGCCAAGAUUAAAGCUCUUGGCGAAUAAGUGGUGGGAAAGACUGGUGCCAGCCGCCGCGGUAACACCAGCGCCACAAGUGGCAAUCAGCUUUAUUUGGUCUAAAGCGUCCGUAGCUGGUUUGGUAAAUCUCUUGUAAAAUCGUUGGGCUCAACCUAACGGAAUGCGGGAGACACUACCAGACUCGGGACCGGGAGGAGUCAGAGGUAUUCCUUGGGGAGCGGUAAAAUGCUUUAAUCCUUGGAAGACCACCAAUGGCGAAGGCAUCUGACCAGAACGGAUCCGACAGUGAGGGACGAAAGCUAGGGGAGCGAACCGGAUUAGAUACCCGAGUAGUCCUAGCCGUAAACGCUGUGAGCCAGGUGUUGCAUAUUCUACAGGAAUAUGCAGUGUCGAAAUGAAGAUGUUAAGCUCACCACCUGGGAAGUACGGUCGCAAGGCUGAAACUUAAAGGAAUUGGCGGGGGAGCACCACAAGGGGUGCGGCGUGCGGUUUAAUCUAACUCAACGCAGAGAACCUCACUAGGGGCGACGGCAGAAUGAAGGUCAGGCUGAAGACCUUACCUGACGAGCCGAGAGGUAGUGCAUGGCCGCCGUCAGCUCGUGCUGUAAAGUGUCCAGUUAAGUCUGGCAACGAGCAAGACCUGUACCUACAAUUGCUAACGACCUUUGGGAUCGAGCACUUUGUAGGAACUGCCUUCGUAAGAAGGAGGAAGGUACAGACUACGGUAGGUCUGUAUGCUCCGAAUCUCCUAGGCUACACGCGCGCAACAAUGGUAGGGACAAUGGGAUGCAACUCCGAAAGGAGAAGCUAAACCUCUAAACCCUAUCCCAGUACAGAUUGAGGGUUGUAACCCACCCUCAUGACGACGGAAUCCCUAGUAAUCAGAAGUCAUCAUCUUCUGGUGAAUAUGUCCCUGCUCCUUGCACACACCGCCCGUCAAACCAACCGAGCAGGUUUUAGGUAAAACAUAGCCUUUUAGUUGUGUUGAAUCUAAGAUCAGUGAGGUGGGUUAAGUCGUCACAAGGUA